rnacentral:tmRNA from 1 species
GGGACUGUAAGGUUUCUACAUAUAAUAUAUUAUAUAUUAUGUCAUAAAUAUAAAUUUUGUGAAUAUUAAUAAUAAAUGCUAAAAACAAUAUACUAAAUUUAUCUAAACAAUUAGUCUGUGUUUAAAUUCUUUACAUCUUUUAUUAAGAUGAAAAUUUAAUAAUCACAUACUUUUACUAGAACUCAAAUAGUGUAAACCUAUAUAUUUAUUUGAUAUAUUAAACUUGGUUGCUCUUAAGUUAAUCUUAAUCAAGAAAUGAUUACUAAGAUAAGUAAUAAAUUGGUAUAAUAUCAAACUAUGUCUUUAUCAAAUUAUAUUAAACUAUAUAGCUUAUCUAAAGUAAUUUUAUAUAGUUAGACUGUGUAUAGUAUAUUAUUAUGGACGUGGGUUCAAUUCCCACCAGUUCCA